GAACUGAAGAGUUUGAUCAUGGCUCAGAUUGAACGCUGGCGGCAGGCCUAACACAUGCAAGUCGAGCGGAUGAAGGGAGCUUGCUCCUGGAUUCAGCGGCGGACGGGUGAGUAAUGCCUAGGAAUCUGCCUGGUAGUGGGGGAUAACGUCCGGAAACGGGCGCUAAUACCGCAUACGUCCUGAGGGAGAAAGUGGGGGAUCUUCGGACCUCACGCUAUCAGAUGAGCCUAGGUCGGAUUAGCUAGUUGGUGGGGUAAAGGCCUACCAAGGCGACGAUCCGUAACU
rnacentral:rRNA from 1 species